rnacentral:tRNA from 1 species
UAUAUAUUAAUGUGUAUUGCAUUGAAAUUUUUGAAGUUUUUAGAAAUAGUUAAAAUCUAUUAUAUAUAA